CCUACGGGAGGCAGCAGUGAGGAAUAUUGGUCCAUGGGCGUAAGCCUGAACCAGCCAAGUCGCGUGAGGGAUGAAGGUUCUAUGGAUCGUAAACCUCUUUUAUAAGGGAAUAAAGUGUGGGACGUGUCCUGUUUUGUAUGUACCUUAUGAAUAAGGAUCGGCUAACUCCGUGCCAGCAGCCGCGGUAAUACGGAGGAUCCGAGCGUUAGCCGGAUUUAUUGGGUUUAAAGGGUGCGUAGGCGGCCUUUUAAGUCAGCGGUGAAAGUCUGUGGCUCAACCAUAGAAUUGCAGUUGAAACUGGGAGGCUUGAGUAUGUGUGAGGCAGGCGGAAUGCGUGGUGUAGCGGUGAAAUGCUGAGAUAUCACGCAGAACCCCGAUUGCGAAGGCAGCCUGCCAAGCCAUGACUGACGCUGAUGCACGAAAGCGUGGGGAUCAAACAGGAUUAGAUACCCCUGUAGUC
rnacentral:rRNA from 1 species